AAUGGAAUAGCUUAAUUUAAAGCGUGAGCUUUUUAAGUUCAAGAUGUCUUUUGAUUUCUA
rnacentral:tRNA from 1 species